rnacentral:rRNA from 1 species
GCACAAUGGGCGAAAGCCUGAUGCAGCGACGCCGCGUGAGGGAUGACGGCCUUCGGGUUGUAAACCUCUUUCAGCAGGGAAGAAGCGAAAGUGACGGUACCUGCAUAAGAAGCGCCGGCUAACUUUUUGUUUGCAGCCGCGGUAAUACGUAGGGCGCGAGCGUUGUCCGGAAUUAUUGGGCGUAAAGCGCUCGUAGGCGGCUUGUCACGUCGGUUGUGAAAGCCCGGGGCUUAACCCCGGGUCUGCAGUCGAUACGGGCAGGCUAGAGUUCGGUAGGGGAGAUCGGAAUUCCUGGUGUAGCGGUGAGAAUGCGCAGAUACCAGGGG